rnacentral:rRNA from 1 species
UACAGGGGGCUCGAGCGUUAGUCGGAAUCACUGGGCUUAAAGGGUGCGUAGGUGGCUCGUCAAGUGUUUUGUGAAAUCCCACAGCUCAACUGUGGAACAGCAGGGCGAACUGGCGAGCUUGAGGCAGGUAGGGGCCGGAAGAACAGUAGGUGGAGCGGUGAAAUGCGUAGAUAUCUACUGGAAUGCCGAUGGGGAAGCCGUCCGGCUGGGCCUGUCCUGACACUGAGGCACGAAAGCGUGGGGAGCAAACAGG